rnacentral:rRNA from 1 species
CCUACGGGCGGCAGCAGUGGGGAAUAUUGGACAAUGGGGGCAACCCUGAUCCAGCCAUACCGCGUGUGUGAAGAAGGCCCUCGGGUUGUAAAGCACUUUCAGUGAGGAAGAACGCCUGGUGGUUAAUACCCAUCAGGAAAGACAUCACUCACAGAAGAAGCACCGGCUAACUCCGUGCCAGCAGCCGCGGUAAUACGGAGGGUGCGAGCGUUAAUCGGAAUUACUGGGCGUAAAGCGCGCGUAGGUGGCUUGAUAAGCCGGUUGUGAAAGCCCCGGGCCCAAACUGGGAACGGCAUCCGGAACUGUCAAGCUAGAGUGCCGGAGAGGAAGGUAGAAUUCCCGGUGUAGCGGUGAAAUGCGUAGAGAUCGGGAGGAAUACCAGUGGCGAAGGCGGCCUUCUGGACUGACACUGACACUGAGGUGCGAAAGCGUGGGUAGCAAACAGGAUUAGAUACCCCAGUAGUC